GAAUUUCUUAGUCGGCCAAAUGGUGACAUCAGAUUCUUGAAAGAUGGGCAGUAUCUCAUUCUUCCUAAUGGGCAAAAUGGAUACUACCUCCAGGUCCAGCUGACAAUGAUGUGCCUGGGACUGCAGAGCUGCAAGCUUGUUAUCUGGACACCAAAUGAGCACAUGGAAUUUGACAUAUCAUAUGACAAAGAAUUUACAGACACACACAUGACACACCUCCAAAAUUUUUACUUUACACACAUGCUUCCAAAAUUAGUCGAUGAUUUUGUUGCUAAGAAAAUUAAGCUCUGCCCCAAAUACCAGAAUCUGUUAAAAAUACAGUAAGCAGAUGACAGAUGUAGAGAGAGAGAGAGAGAGAGGAUUUAAGUUUUGUUUUAUUAAAAACAUAAAACACAAUCAAUUGCAAUCUGACAUCACACUAUUUAGACAUUUUUUCCAUAAAAAAUAACUCAACUAUUUAUAGAUUAGUGGGUAAUUCAUUUAAUAAUAGAUUAAUUGUUGCAGCUCAAACUACUGUA